rnacentral:rRNA from 1 species
CGGAGGGUGCAAGCGUUAUCCGGAUUCACUGGGUUUAAAGGGUGCGUAGGCGGGCAUUUAAGUCAGUGGUGAAAUACCUGAGCUUAACUUGGGAACUGCCAUUAAUACUAUUUGUCUUGAAUGUCGUGGAGGUUAGCGGAAUAUGUCAUGUAGCGGUGAAAUGCUUAGAUAUGACAUAGAACACCUAUUGCGAAGGCAGCUAACUACGCGAAUAUUGACGCUGAGGCACGAAAGCGUGGGGAUCAAACAGGAUUAGAUACCCUGGUAGUCCACGCCCUAAACGAUGAUUACUCGACAUUGGCGAUACACUGUCAGUGUCUGAGCGAAAGCAUUAAGUAAUCCACCUGGGAAGUACGACCGCAAGGUUG